AUUUCCUGGAUAUCCACUAAAGUAGCAGGCCAACAUUAACCAAAGUGAAAAAUGGUUAGACAAGCUUUGAUGACACUUCCAUCACUCACAAGGAGGAGUCCAGAGAACUGAGAUCCACUGCAGCCAGCCAUAGAAGAAAGGGUGACAGCAGGUUUGGACAGAUGCCAAAUUAAGGAUGACCACUUUAUGAACAAUAUGAUCAUACACUGAAAAGGAGGCCAACAAGGAAGAA